UACAGAGGUCUCAAGCGUUGUCCGGAUUUAUUGGGUUUAAAGGGUGCGUAGGCGGCUUUUUAAGUCAGUGGUGAAAGACAACAGCUCAACUGUUGCAGUGCCAUUGAUACUGAAGAGCUUGAGUACAGAUGAGGUAGGCGGAAUUUAUGGUGUAGCGGUGAAAUGCAUAGAUACCAUAAAGAACACCUAUUGCGAAGGCAGCUUACUAAGCUGUAACUGACGCUGAGGCACGAAAGUGUGGGGAUCAAACAGG
rnacentral:rRNA from 1 species